rnacentral:piRNA from 1 species
UGAGAAACCAUACCAUUUCAAAAAUGAAUU